rnacentral:rRNA from 1 species
AUACGUAGGGGGCGAGCGUUGUCCGGAAUGAUUGGGCGUAAAGGGCGCGUAGGCGGCCCGGUAAGUCUGGAGUGAAAGUCCUGUUUUUAAGAUGGGAAUUGCUUUGGAUACUGUCGGGCUUGAGUGCAGGAGAGGUAAGUGGAAUUCCCAGUGUAGCGGUGAAAUGCGUAGAGAUUGGGAGGAACACCAGUGGCGAAGGCGACUUACUGGACUGUAACUGACGCUGAGGCGCGAAAGUGUGGGGAGCAAACAGGAUUAGAUACCCUGGUAGUCCACACCGUAAACGAUGAAUGCUAGGUGUAGGGGGUAUCGACCCCUUCUGUGCCGCAGUCAACACAAAAAGCAUUCCGCCUGGGGAGUACGGCCGCAAGGUUGAAACUUAAAUGAAUUGACGGGG